rnacentral:rRNA from 1 species
UACGAAGGUGGCAAGCGUUGUUCGGAAUUACUGGGCGUAAAGGGCGCGUAGGCGGCUUGGUCAGUCCCGUGUGAAAUCCCUCGGCUCAACUGAGGAACUGCACGGGAAACUGCCUGGCUUGAGUUCGGGAGAGGGAAGCGGAAUUCCGGGUGUAGCGGUGAAAUGCGUAGAUAUCCGGAGGAACACCGGUGGCGAAGGCGGCUUCCUGGACCGACACUGACGCUGAGGCGCGAAAGCUAGGGGAGCAAACGGG